GAUGAACGCUGGCGGCGUGCCUAACACAUGCAAGUCGAGCGAUUUACUUCGGUAAAGAGCGGCGGACGGGUGAGUAACGCGUGGGUAACCUGCCUCAUACACAUGGAUAACAUACCGAAAGGUAUGCUAAUACAAGAUGAUAUAAGAGAUUCGCAUGGAUUUCUUAUCAAAGCUCCGGCGGUAUGAGAUGGACCCGCGUCUGAUUAGCUAGUUGGUAAGGUAACGGCUUACCAAGGCGACCAUCAGUAGCCGACCUGAGAGGGUGAUCGGCCACAUUGGAACUGAGACACUGUCCAAACUCCUACGAGAGGCAGCAGUGGGGAAUAUUGCACAAUGGGCGAAAGCCUGAUGCAGCAACGCCGCGUGAGCGAUGAAGGCCUUCGGGUCGUAAAGCUCUGUCCUCAAGGAAGAUAAUGACGGUACUUGAGGAGGAAGCCCCGGCUAACUACGUGCCAGCAGCCGCAGUAAGAC
rnacentral:rRNA from 1 species